rnacentral:rRNA from 1 species
GUGACUGCGUACCUUUUGUAUAAUGGGUCAGCGACUUAUAUUCUGUAGCAAGGUUAACCGAAUAGGGGAGCCGAAGGGAAACCGAGUCUUAACUGGGCGUUAAGUUGCAGGGUAUAGACCCGAAACCCGGUGAUCUAGCCAUGGGCAGGUUGAAGGUUGGGUAACACUAACUGGAGGACCGAACCGACUAAUGUUGAAAAAUUAGCGGAUGACUUGUGGCUGGGGGUGAAAGGCCAAUCAAACCGGGAGAUAGCUGGUUCUCCCCGAAAGCUAUUUAGGUAGCGCCUCGUGAAUUCAUCUCCGGGGGUAGAGCACUGUUUCGGCAAGGGGGUCAUCCCGACUUACCAACCCGAUGCAAACUGCGAAUACCGGAGAAUGUUAUCACGGGAGACACACGGCGGGUGCUAACGUCCGUCGUGAAGAGGGAAACAACCCAGACCGCCAGCUAAGGUCCCAAAGUCAUGGUUAAGUGGGAAACGAUGUGGGAAGGCCCAGACAGCCAGGAUGUUGGCUUAGAAGCAGCCAUCAUUUAAAGAAAGCGUAAUAGCUCACUGGUCGAGUCGGCCUGCGCGGAAGAUGUAACGGGGCUAAACCAUGCACCGAAGCUGCGGCAGCGACGCUGAUGCGUUGUUGGGUAGGGGAGCGUUCUGUAAGCCUGUGAAGGUGUGCUGUGAGGCAUGCUGGAGGUAUCAGAAGUGCGAAUGCUGACAUAAGUAACGAUAAAGCGGGUGAAAAGCCCGCUCGCCGGAAGACCAAGGGUUCCUGUCCAACGUUAAUCGGGGCAGGGUGAGUCGACCCCUAAGGCGAGGCCGAAAGGCGUAGUCGAUGGGAAACAGGUUAAUAUUCCUGUACUUGGUGUUACUGCGAAGGGGGGACGGAGAAGGCUAUGUUGGCCGGGCGACGGUUGUCCCGGUUUAAGCGUGUAGGCUGGUUUUCCAGGCAAAUCCGGAAAAUCAAGGCUGAGGCGUGAUGACGAGGCACUACGGUGCUGAAGCAACAAAUGCCCUGCUUCCAGGAAAAGCCUCUAAGCAUCAGGUAACAUCAAAUCGUACCCCAAACCGACACAGGUGGUCAGGUAGAGAAUACCAAGGCGCUUGAGAGAACUCGGGUGAAGGAACUAGGCAAAAUGGUGCCGUAACUUCGGGAGAAGGCACGCUGAUACGUAGGUGAAGUCCCUCGCGGAUGGAGCUGAAAUCAGUCGAAGAUACCAGCUGGCUGCAACUGUUUAUUAAAAACACAGCACUGUGCAAACACGAAAGUGGACGUAUACGGUGUGACGCCUGCCCGGUGCCGGAAGGUUAAUUGAUGGGGUCAGCGCAAGCGAAGCUCUUGAUCGAAGCCCCGGUAAACGGCGGCCGUAACUAUAACGGUCCUAAGGUAGCGAAAUUCCUUGUCGGGUAAGUUCCGACCUGCACGAAUGGCGUAAUGAUGGCCAGGCUGUCUCCACCCGAGACUCAGUGAAAUUGAACUCGCUGUGAAGAUGCAGUGUACCCGCGGCAAGACGGAAAGACCCCGUGAACCUUUACUAUAGCUUGACACUGAACAUUGAGCCUUGAUGUGUAGGAUAGGUGGGAGGCUUGGAAGUGUGGACGCCAGUCUGCAUGGAGCCGACCUUGAAAUACCACCCUUUAAUGUUUGAUGUUCUAACGUGGACCCGUAAUCCGGGUUGCGGACAGUGUCUGGUGGGUAGUUUGACUGGGGCGGUCUCCUCCUAAAGAGUAACGGAGGAGCACGAAGGUUGGCUAAUCCUGGUCGGACAUCAGGAGGUUAGUGCAAUGGCAUAAGCCAGCUUGACUGCGAGCGUGACGGCGCGAGCAGGUGCGAAAGCAGGUCAUAGUGAUCCGGUGGUUCUGAAUGGAAGGGCCAUCGCUCAACGGAUAAAAGGUACUCCGGGGAUAACAGGCUGAUACCGCCCAAGAGUUCAUAUCGACGGCGGUGUUUGGCACCUCGAUGUCGGCUCAUCACAUCCUGGGGCUGAAGUAGGUCCCAAGGGUAUGGCUGUUCGCCAUUUAAAGUGGUACGCGAGCUGGGUUUAGAACGUCGUGAGACAGUUCGGUCCCUAUCUGCCGUGGGCGCUGGAGAACUGAGGGGGGCUGCUCCUAGUACGAGAGGACCGGAGUGGACGCAUCACUGGUGUUCGGGUUGUCAUGCCAAUGGCACUGCCCGGUAGCUAAAUGCGGAAGAGAUAAGUGCUGAAAGCAUCUAAGCACGAAACUUGCCCCGAGAUGAGUUCUCCCUGACUCCUUGAGAGUCCUGAAGGAACGUUGAAGACGACGACGUUGAUAGGCCGGGUGUGUAAGCGCAGCGAUGCGUUGAGCUAACCGGUACUAAUGAACCGUGAGGCUUAACCUU